GACGAACGCUGGCGGCGUGCCUAAUACAUGCAAGUAGAACGCUGACGUGAGGAGCUUGCUCUUCCUGGUUGAUUUCCGAACGGGUGAGUAACGCGUAGGUAACCUGCCUUGUCGCGGGGGAUAAUUAUUGGAAACGAUAGCUAAUACCGCAUAACAAUGGAUGAUACAUGUCAUUUAUUUGAAAGGGGCAAUUGCUUCACUACAAGAUGUACCUGCGUUGUAUUAGCUAGUUGGUGUGGUAAUGGCUCACCUAGGCGACGAUACAUAGCCGACCAGAGAGGGGAAUCGGCCACGCUGGGACUGGGAGACGACCCAGACUCCUGCGAGAGGCAGCAGGAGGGGAUCCUCGGGGAAGGGAGCAACGGGGAACGUGCAACGCCGCGUGAGAGAAGAAGGUUGUCAGGUCGUAAAACUCAGUAGUAAGUCAAGAUCGGAAGGGAGAGUGGAAAGUGCACACAAUGACGGUAGCUUACCAAAAAGCGACGGCUAACUACGUG
rnacentral:rRNA from 1 species